rnacentral:lncRNA from 1 species
CUCUGUUUACAGAUAUGGUGAUCCCUCAGUGUGAUCCAGACUCAUCUGGCUGUUACCAGAAUAUUUGGAUAAUUGGAAUGAAGACCCUAGGAAUUUAGAAACUACCUAAUUUCAUCCCUUCACUUAAAGACAAGCCUCGGAAACUAGGUGACCGUCCAAUGGACCUGAUCGCAAGGGACUCAGAUCGGGCAGUUUUUAAAAGCCAUCAUAGCGAAACAUACCAGAAUGCGUCACGGAAGUCCUGAAAAAUAAAGAAUGAAAUAACAAACA